rnacentral:rRNA from 1 species
CCUACGUGUGGCAGCAGCGAGGAAUAUUGGUCAAUGGACGAGAGUCUGAACCAGCCAAGUAGCGUGAAGGAUGACUGCCCUAUGGGUUGUAAACUUCUUUUAUAUGGGAAUAAAACGUUCCACGUGUGGGAUUUUGUAUGUACCAUAUGAAUAAGGAUCGGCUAACUCCGUGCCAGCAGCCGCGGUAAUACGGAGGAUCCGAGCGUUAUCCGGAUUUAUUGGGUUUAAAGGGAGCGUAGGUGGAUUGUUAAGUCAGUUGUGAAAGUUAUCGGCUCAACCGGAAAAUUGAAGUUGAAACUGGCAGUCGUGAGGUCAGUAGAGGUGGGCGGAAUUCGGGGUGUAGCGGUGAAAUGCUUAGAUAUCACGAAGAACUCCGAUUGCGAAGGCAGUUCACUGGACUGCAACUGACACUGAGGCUCGAAAGUGUGGGUAUCAAACAGGAUUAGAGACCCUAGUAGUC